UUCAUACUUUAGAGAAAUAAAUUUUUACUAGAUUUAUUAACAAUUUAAAUGAAUGUUCUAUUUUAUACACCAGCAUAAUAGAAAAUGUUGAUAAAGAAUCAAAGAAUAAUUUAACGGUUGAAAAAGCACUUUCACCAUACAGUAGAAAACAAUUACUAUAAUUUACGCACCCAAGUCAUAUUUGCAAGAAUAUAUAAACAAUAUAUCAUCCAAACAAAGUAAUAUAUCUUCUAUUACAACAAACAGUAGAUUUAUAAAAGGAUAUGCUUUAAAAAGUCCAAAAAUACCACACAAAACAACACCCCUAGUUCAAGAGUCAAGAGCCAAACGAGGUAAACAAUUUACAAGACACUGAGACUCCUAAAAUUCUCUAUAUUCGUUCAAUUUCAAGGUGUCUUACAUCUUUUUAACAUGGUCAGUUGCGCUACAGGAUGCAACCCGAUUAGUUACAAAGGCUACGGUUGUUUUUGUGGAUUCCUCGGCUCGGGACAGCCGGUAGAUGGUAUCGAUACGUGCUGUAUGUUCCACGAUUGGUGUUAUGUUCGAGCCAAGUGCCCCAUGUACCUGGAAUACUUUGUACCUUAUUAUUGGAAAUGCCAUAACGAUGAACCUUUUUGCGGUACAAUAAAUACACUACUGAGUAAAUUUUUAAUUUAAUAGCGCCCCAUUUUAGCUAUUGAUUAUGGAAGUUAUGGAAUACCGCAGUCCUGUUCUGAAAAACUUUGCGAAUGCGAUCGAAUUCUAUCAAGGUGCCUUAGACAGUAUCCGUGUCCUAGUAAACGGGCUUUUUGCAGAUCGUCGCCUUUGAGGUUUAUACAGAAUGCAUUUAUGUUGUUUUCUUAACGAAAUAAAUGGUAAAAACA